AUGGCAAGCACCAAAGUUAAGAGGAUUAUGACUCAACCCAUUAACUUGAUUUUCAGGUUUCUUCAACAUAAAGCUCGCACUCAUAUUUGGAUCUUUGAGCAAAAGGACCUUAGGAUUGAAGGACGAAUCAUUGAUUUUGCUGAUUAUAUGAAUUUGAUUCUCGAUGAAGCUGAAUAAGUCAGCAUUAAGAAAAACCAAGAAAGUCAAUGGGAAAGAUUCUUCAGUUGA
rnacentral:lncRNA from 1 species